rnacentral:rRNA from 1 species
GGAUUAGAAACCCGGGUAGUCUUAGCCAUAAACGAUGUUCACUAGGUGUUGGGGCGUAAGCCUCGGUGCCGCAGCUAACGCAUUAAGUGAACCGCCUGGGGACUACGGCCGCAAGGUUGAAACUCAAAGGAAUUGGCGGGGGCCCGCACAAGCGGUGGAGCAUGUGGCUUAAUUCGAGGCUACGCGCAAAACCUUAUCCCGGGCUUGACAUGCACGGAUUAGCCGGCGGAAACGUCGGUGAGGCCGCAAGGUACAACGUGCACAGGUGCUGCAUGGCUGUCGUCAGCUCGUGUCGUG